UACAGAGGGUGCAAGCGUUGUUCGGAAUCACUGGGCGUAAAGGGCGCGUAGGCGGCCUCCGCAAGUCAGUUGUGAAAUCUCCGAGCUUAACUCGGAAAGGUCAACUGAUACUGUGCGACUAGAGUGCAGAAGGGGCAACUGGAAUUCUCGGUGUAGCGGUGAAAUGCGUAGAUAUCGAGAGGAACACCUGCGGCGAAGGCGGGUUGCUGGGCUGACACUGACGCUGAGGCGCGAAAGCCAGGGGAGCAAACGGG
rnacentral:rRNA from 1 species